AGGACCUACGGGGGGCAGCAGUGGGGAAUAUUGGGCAAUGGGCGCAAGCCUGACCCAGCAACGCCGCGUGAAGGAAGAAGGCUUUCGGGUUGUAAACUUCUUUUAUCAGGGACGAAGCAAGUGACGGUACCUGAUGAAUAAGCCACGGCUAACUACGUGCCAGCAGCCGCGGUAAUACGUAGGUGGCAAGCGUUAUCCGGAUUUACUGGGUGUAAAGGGCGUGUAGGCGGGAGUGCAAGCCAGAUGUGAAAACUUUGGGCUCAACCCAUAGCCUGCCUUUGAAACUGUACUUCUUGAGUGCUGGG
rnacentral:rRNA from 1 species